rnacentral:rRNA from 1 species
UACGUAGGGGGCUAGCGUUGUCCGGAAUCAUUGGGCGUAAAGCGCGCGUAGGCGGCCCGGUAAGUCCGCUGUAAAAGUCAAAGGCUCAACCUUUGAAUGUCAGUGGAUACUGCCGGGCUAGAGUCCGGAAGAGGCGAGUGGAACUCCUGGUGUAGCGGUGGAAUGCGCAGAUAUCAGGAAGAACACCGACGGCGAAGGCAGCUCGCUGGGACGGUACUGACGCUGAGGCGCGAAAGCGUGGGGAGCAACAGGAUUAGA